GUGGACGAGGCUGCCUCUACCUGCUCUUAAUUUUUCCUUGUUUCAUGUCUGGGUAAAUGCUCAUCCAUUCUAAUGAGCCAGUUCUGGCAUCACCUGUGACGAAGCUCUCUUAGGUCAUGGUCUCCACCAGAUUCUCAGCAUUAGACUCUCUUCCUGGCUCACAGAGGAAGAAAAAUAGAUCCCUGGGGUGUGUGUUUCCCCUCAAACACAAUAUUGAAGAUGUAUGGAUAUCUCCAUGCAGUUAAAAGGCCAUAUUUUCAGAGGACAUCCCAGUACUGGUAAUCUGCAAAGUAGCAAUAGAACACCGACAAAGGCAAUUAUGGACCCCCUGCUUGCUGCCCAGUAGGGACCCGAGAGACUUGUUUCUCACCCCACAGAGCUGCAGACUUGUAGGUGGAAGGACACAGUACUGACCUCCCGUUGCCGUCUUCGUCCCCCUGCAACAUCUUUCAGGCCUCAUGAAAUAUUGACAACGGAAUGAGAUUGAGCCUCAUCUUGGAUGCAACCCCCUAGCCGAGCCAUUGGGAACAGAUCUUGUAUAACCUUGUUUGUUAGCUGAGGCGUGUGACAUCACCAGCUCUGGGACUCUGAAGGCGUCAACACUAAUCCUGUGUUCUAAUGCGAAGUCGGAGCUCCAUUUGCAACAGGCCUGCAGAAAAUAUUCCUGCUCUGGCUUUGCCAUCCCAAACUAGGAAUCCUGUUCCCCAGUCUUCUUCCAUGUCUUUUUCAUCAGGAAGACUAAAGGGGGGGAUGCUCCAAGUGCAGGAGCUCACUCAAGCUCUCCUAGCACCUUCCCUUCCAGCCUCUACCCCUGCCCCUCACAACCAGAACACACAAGGCCCUACUAUAGCAAGCCCACAGCUCAGAAGCCGACAUCUGACUCCACACUUGUGCGUCCAUGGCUGUCCUGAAUA